UUAAGUUCCCUCUGUAUGCAGAAUAUUGUGCAACAUGGUUAUGGGUACUACAGUGGAUGUGAGUGUGUAGACCUUGUACAAUAGAGCUUAUAGGCUAAUGAGAAGACAGGAAGAAACAACAGGAACACAUAUAGCUGGAAUGCAGAUGGGAUCUGUGCUACUUACGCUAGCCAUGGGAUGAUUAGAACAAGAUAAGAGACAUGAGGAAGACUUCUUCAAGGAGGUGCUCAAGCCAUGUUUUGGAAAAGAGAACUCAAGGUCUGGCAGGGAGAAAGGAGCAAGGUCCCCAAGCAUGCUAACCAUGAAGCAGUGAUAUCGCACAGCACCUGCUUCCAGCAGCCCGGAGCCAAGGGGCAAAAUGGAAAGAGUCAGCAUUUCUCUUUUAGAAUUUAAGUGAUCAUGGAACUGGAACAAACUUCAGUGCCCAUUUAGUCAAUUGCCUUCAUUUUAUAGAAGAGGAAAUUGAAGAAUAAAGGUUGUGAUUUUCCUAA
rnacentral:lncRNA from 1 species